rnacentral:lncRNA from 1 species
CCCAGUCCUGCCCCCCCCGCUCAGCCCCGCCCCAGCCUGGGCGGCCAGCUGUCCAGAGCCCUGAGCCCACAGCGGGCGUCCCCAGGCUGCAGAGGGGAGGAAACAGCACAAGACUUCUUCUGCAGCAGAAAUCUGGGCUCCCGGGUUAACGCGCCCUGCGGAGCCCCAGGCAAACUGCACAAAAGCAGCCGGAGGUGCGGUUCGGGGUGACUCUUCCUUGUCGAGCGGAAAUCGGGCAGCGUCUGGGAGGGUCCGUCGUCCCGGCCCUGGUGGGAGGCAGCGGCGGGGAGGCUUGCCGCUCGGCCCGUGGAAAGGCACAGCCUCCCCACCGCAGUGCCCCUCAGAGCAGCCAAACCCCUGCAUUCCGCCCCCGACACGCGGACACCUGCGGCAGGGCCUCCCGGUGUCAUCUGCCCGAUGUCCUGGCCGGGGCCUCGCGGGGCCACCUGCAAGUCAGGCAAGCGGGAGGCUCCAGCCAGGUGAGACUGUACCCGGAGAAUGGAUGAGGACGGCCCGCAUCAAGAAGGGCCCUCAGCUGUGCCCACAGCCAAGGUGGGAAGGUUGUGCUCCCUCUCAGCUGUCACAGGCAGCCCUGAGGCCCAGGGGCCGCUGGCGGGGCUGGGAGAGGUCAGCGACCCCAGGGGGCUGGGUUUGGCCUUCACCCUCUACCCCGUCGACCCCGGGAGUUACCCUCCUGGCUAGAUCCGUCAGAAGGCCAGACUUUGGUUUUAGCGAAAAUGCUGUGAGACACUGAAGGUGCACGGUGGUCACAGAGUCCAAACACUACCUGGGCGGGCCACUCCCAAGUUGCAUGUUGAGGGGCGGGUCUCCAACUUUGCUGCAACUCCCGCGGCCACCAGCAGAUGUGAGGGCACAGAUUAAGGGAAUCUGUGGGAGGUCACUGGGGAAUUUGCAAAUGCAGGUGAUUUUCAGCUGUCUGACACACGCCAAUGUGUGUGAAGAGGGCGGCCACCACCGGCUGCCCCCAGCGCCCAGAGAGGCCCCCGAGGGGAUGUUUAACCAGGGCCACCUGUGUUGAGCAGCCUCAGGAUGACCCCAGUCACCCAGUCAUUCAUGCGUCCCCUCCCUCUAGGCAGCACCUUACCUUACCCCUGAUAGGAUGUGGCAAAGGGGCAGAGGCCAGGCCCACGGUGACGGUGCAGACGACUCCCGGCACACUGAAAGACACCCUCCUGCUGGCCUUAUGGAAGCAAACUGCCCAGUUGUGAACCGUCUGUGAAGGGACACGAGGAUCCGUGUCCCACCACCCGAGAAUGACUUCUGCCCACAGGCUGGGGGACCGCGGAAGCAGACUGCUCUCCAAAGGAGCCUCUCGUGAGACCACAGCCCCAGCCUACACCUGGAGGGCAUCCCGCGUGGGAGCAUCCUGGGGGGGAGGCCUCCCUUCUGGGGAGGACAGCUCCCAGGGGUUAUGCUCCUGGGGUCAGCCCUGUGGACGGACAUCCUCCUGUGGGCAUCCUCCAGGGGGUGGGUUGACUUCCUCCAGGAGAACAUCCUCUGGGAAGAGGGAUAUUCUGGAGGAGGGGGUUUCCAGCAGGUAGGCGUCUUCCUCUGGGGGGAGGUUGUCCUCAGGGGCAUUCUGGGGUGAUUCUCUGGGACGAGCAUCCCCCAGGGACAUACCUGUAGAGCCGGUAUACUCCAGAGGGCAUCCUGGGGGAGGUGUCUUCUCCCAAAGGGAAGGGAUAUCGUGUAGGGGGGGUCCUGGGGGGACACCCUGGGGGCAAUCCCAGCGAGGAAGGGGGCGGGCGCCCUCCGGAGUGACGUUCUCCGGGAGGGGCUGUGCUCGGAGCGUGGGGGGCCUUCUCGGGGCGGACGGCGCCGGCGGCCCCGCCCCCGGCCCCGCCCCGAUCCCGCCCCGGCCCCGCCCCCGGCCCUCCCCCACGCUUCCUCCUUCGCUCACUUUCGCUUCCGCCGGAGCGCGGGUCCCGCCGCCGCCCGAGCAUGGACGACCCGGACUGCGACUCGACCUGGGAGGAGGACGAGGACGAGGACGGCGAGGGCGCGAGCGCUGGGGGCGACGAGGACGGCGAGGCCGGCGCCCCAGGGGACGCGGACGCGGAGGACGAGGACGAGGACGAAGAGGACGCGCCGGCGGCGCGGCCCGGCGCGCUCCAGGUGCAGCCUCGACGCGCGCCGGGGACCCAGCGCCCAGCCCCG